CCUGCCAUCGUCAGGAAUUUCCCAAGCAAUUUUUUUCAAGUCUUUUUCAGUAUUACGUAUGGUUGUUAUAUCAUUUGCUUAGGUGAGGUUUAUAUUUAAAUUUCUUAGUACUACUUCUACAUUAGUGUUUGCUUCUUUGACUACUUUCUCUAGCAUUUAAUUAAAAAAGAAUGGUGAUAGCAUAUCUUCUUGUAUUAGGUCAGUAGUUACUUUGACUGUGUUUGAUAUC